rnacentral:rRNA from 1 species
ACGAACGCUGGCGGCGUGCUUCACACAUGCAAGUCGCACGGAAAGGCCCUGCUUUUGUGGGGUGCUCGAGUGGCGAACGGGUGAGUAACACGUGAGUAACCUGCCCUUGACUUUGGGAUAACUUCAGGAAACUGGGGCUAAUACCGGAUAGGAGCUCCUGCUGCAUGGUGGGGGUUGGAAAGUUUCGGCGGUUGGGGAUGGACUCGCGGCUUAUCAGCUUGUUGGUGGGGUAGUGGCUUACCAAGGCUUUGACGGGUAGCCGGCCUGAGAGGGUGACCGGCCACAUUGGGACUGAGAUACGGCCCAGACUCCUACGGGAGGCAGCAGUGGGGAAUGUUGCACAAUGGGCGGAAGCCUGAUGCAGCAACGCCGCGUGCGGGAUGACGGCCUUCGGGUUGUAAACCGCUUUCGCCUGUGACGAAGCGUGAGUGACGGUAAUGGGUAAAGAAGCACCGGCUAACUACGUG